rnacentral:rRNA from 1 species
UACGAAGGGAGCUAGCGUUGUUCGGAAUCACUGGGCGUAAAGCGCACGUAGGCGGACGUGUCAGUCAGGGGUGAAAUCCCGGAGCUCAACUUCGGAACUGCCUUUGAUACAGCACGUCUUGAGUCCGGAAGAGGUGGGUGGAAUUCCGAGUGUAGAGGUGAAAUUCGUAGAUAUUCGGAAGAACACCAGUGGCGAAGGCGGCUCACUGGACCGGCAUUGACGCUGAGGUGCGAAAGCGUGGGGAGCAAACAGG